rnacentral:rRNA from 1 species
UACGGAGGGUGCGAGCGUUGUCCGGAAUCACUGGGCGUAAAGGGCGCGUAGGCGGCCUGGUAAGUAGGGGGUGAAAUCCUGCGGCUUAACCGCAGGGCUGCCUUCUAAACUGUCAGGCUGGAGCACAGUAGAGGCAGGUGGAAUUCCCGGUGUAGCGGUGGAAUGCGUAGAGAUCGGGAAGAACAUCAGUGGCGAAGGCGGCCUGCUGGGCUGUUGCUGACGCUGAGGCGCGACAGCGUGGGGAGCUAACAGG